AAUUUUUGUAUUUUUAUAAAGACAGGGUUUCAUCAUGUUGGCCAAGCUGGUCUCAAACUCCUGACCUCAAGUUAUCUGCCUGCCUUGGCCUCUCGAAGUGCUGGGAUUAUAGGCGUGAGCCACUGCACCCUGCCAUGGAUAUGGACAACUGAUUUCUGAACACCUGGGAAGAACACAGGAUUGGCAUUGCUGUGAGGGCCUCUGCCAUACCGGGCUCUCCAGGCCAAGGCAAGACAGAGAGUGACCUGGGAGCACCUUUGUUGUGCCAUCUAUAGCAAAAAGACACUUGGGUGCAAGUGGGAAUCUUGAGUCACUUUGAGGAGCAUUGCACAAAGCCCUAUGUCUUCAGCCAAGUGCACCCUUUCCUUUUCUGGCUCCAGGAAGUGACAUGGCCUAGCCAUGCAUCCUGGCACCACCAAGGGCCCGUGACUGCCUCUGCUUCCAUGUCCCUUUCAGUCUCUACCUCUACAAAUGCCUCAGCUUUUACCUCCACUCCCAAUUCCAUUCGGCCACACUACAUCUCUCUGCCACAGCCUCAGAGAAUCCUGAAGACACUGCUGUGAUUAUUGGCCUGACGCACCCUGUGGUACCACUGAGAGUUGUGAAGUUGUCUACCAUUCUACUGCAUGAGUUGCAGUAGAACCCCUGGCUGGUGAGAGGGGCAGCAAGAAAUGACCUGACAUUGCUACUCCUCCAAGAUGUCCAGACUACCAUUCGGCUCUUAGUACCCUUAGGGUAUGUGAAGAACCUGAAUAAUUCAGAAUGCUGGCUCUCUGGGCCACAAAUUAUUAUACCACAUCAGCAGUUAGUUUUCUUAUUGGGGUAGCAGUUAAAAAAAAAUGAGGUUCAUAUUUUUAAUAUUAUGGUUUAAGGAAUAACUGUAAUCACAAUUGUAUACAUGACUAAUUAUAACAUAUUUAAUCUACAUAAAAGACCCAGUAGGAGAUUUGUUUUUGUUUCAUAAGAUGAUGGUUCUGAUGAUAACUUCACGGGAUUUUUGAUCUGAAAACAAUUAGAUGAGGAUAUUUCUCUGUACAGUCAAUUUUGUAAUCCAAAGUAGAGAUGAGUUGCUUUCUAACUGUUUGCUAACUUCAAAACAAAAGAAAAAGAAGGUUUUUUUGUUUUGUUGUAUUUUUACCUCUUUAUAAAAGUGAGGCUGAACUUGACUUGGAAUUUGGAAUUUCAUAAGUAAAACUUUACUUGUUAAUUUUGAAGAGUGGCAUUUAAAAAAUGAUUAAAGAGUGGUGAUGCUGUCCUCAGUGGCUCACUCCUGUACUUCCAGCACUUUGGGAGCUUGAACUAGGAGAACCCUUUGGGCCCAGGAAUGUGAUACCCACUUGGCAAUAUAGCAAGAUUUCAUGACUAAACAACAACAACAAAUAGCCUGGUGUGGUGUUGCACACAUGUAGUCCCAGAUAUAUGGGAGGCUGAGACAGGAAAAUAGCUUGAGCCUGGGAGGUUGAGGCUACAGUGUGUGAAGAUUGUGCCAAUGCACUCCAGUCUGGGUGACCAAGCAAGAACUUGCCUCAAAAAAAAGAGGGGCCAG
rnacentral:lncRNA from 10 species